AGAGUUUGAUUAUGGCUCAGAUUGAACGCUAGCGGCAUGCCUUACACAUGCAAGUCGAACGGCAGCACGGGGGCAACCCUGGUGGCGAGUGGCGAACGGGUGAGUAAUACAUCGGAACGUGCCCUAUAGUGGGGGAUAACUAGUCGAAAGACUGGCUAAUACCGCAUACGACCUAAGGGUGAAAGCGGGGGACCGCAAGGCCUCGCGCUAAAGGAGCGGCCGAUGUCCGAUUAGCUUGUUGGCGGGGUAAAAGCCCACCAAGGCGACGAUCGGUAGCUGGUCUGAGAGGACGACCAGCCACACUGGGACUGAGACACGGCCCAGACUCCUACGGGAGGCAGCAGUGGGGAAUUUUGGACAAUGGGGGCAACCCUGAUCCAGCCAUGCCGCGUGCGGGAAGAAGGCCUUCGGGUUGUAAACCGCUUUUGGCAGGAACGAAACGGCGCGCGCCAAUACCGCGCGUUAAUGACGGUACCUGCAGAAUAAGCACCGGCUAACUACGUGCCAGCAGCCGCGGUAAUACGUAGGGUGCGAGCGUUAAUCGGAAUUACUGGGCGUAAAGCGUACGCAGGCGGCUUGGUAAGACAGAUGUGAAAUCCCCGGGCUCAACCUGGGAACUGCAUUUGUGACUGCCAGACUCGAGUUUGUCAGAGGGGGGUGGAAUUCCACGUGUAGCAGUGAAAUGCGUAGAGAUGUGGAGGAACACCGAUGGCG
rnacentral:rRNA from 1 species